GGCCAUUGACUAUGUAGAAAUAGCGCCCUCUGUAGCUUUGGGGUAUAUGUGCAGUAAGUUCAGUAGUUAGUGAGGAGAGUCACGUUAGUUUGAAGGUCAGACAGGACAACGUGUCCACUGAGCAAGCUCUUUAUGUUCGUGGCUUGUGUGCGUAAAUGAUAAGGAUUCCUAAGGACUGAAAACUAGAUCUCUUUGGAGAGAUCACUUAUGACUUCAGACUUCCACUACACUGCUUUCCAGAGCUCUCCAGACGGCCAGCAAUGCUACCUACCGGCGCUAUAUGUUGCAUUGUCGGAGGUCCGUCCAUCGAGCUGCUGAUCUGUGGGCUGACCAGCAUCUGCCUGGAGAAAACGCUCAGGACCUGUGCUUCCGAAGCUCUACGGAUGGGUAGCGUGUUAAAAAGUAACAUACCAUGUUGUACGUUGUUCACACCAGGAGAAUCAUCACUGUCUAAUGCCCAUUGACUUGAUAUGGAAUGUUUAUGUUGUCUUUGUCUAUGUCUAUCCCUGUGUGAAGCACCUUGUAAGUGGCCAUUGUGCUAGUGAAUGCACUAUACAAAUAUAUAAAAAAAUAAAUACCUACUUUCAUGUAC